GUGGCGUCAGUGUGCGUGGCACGAGCUGGGCAGGCAACAUGAGGGCGGAGAUAGGAGUCUGAUGAGAGAAGACUGUGGAAAACAGCUUGUGGUUUUGACGAUAAUUUCUCAAUUCCAGCCCCGUUUUUACAGAUGAGGCAACGCAGGCUCGAAGUAGUGAAGUGGUUUGCUCGAGCCUCCCCAACUAGCCAAAGGCAGGAUGCGAUUGGACCGAACAACAGGUGAGACAACAAGAUCAGAGAUUUGCUUUUCCGAGAGGCCUCAUUAAUUGGUGACUCAAAGACCCAAACUUGACUGUGAUGGAUCUUAUGAUACGCCGAUGCUAGAAACAAACAGAUGUUUUUGAAAUAAAAAUAAAGACUAUAUAUGGCAAUGAUAUUCACUUAUGAAUGCUAUUUCCCUUCUCCCUGUGUCAUUUAAAAAACAGUUAAUUUACAAGACUGUAUGCAGCAAAACCAAAUUCAGUUUCACAGUUAACAGAACAAUAAUUACUUGACAUUUGGGCCAGAACUCUGGGACGUUGAGGACCACUGAACAACAAAAACA